rnacentral:rRNA from 1 species
UACGGGGGGGGCAAGCGUUGUUCGGAAUUACUGGGCGUAAAGGGCGCGUAGGCGGUUGGAUAAGUCAGCUGUGAAAACCACGGGCUUAACUCGUGGCCUGCAGUUGAGACUGUCUGGCUUGAGUGUGGGAGAGGAGAGUGGAAUUCCUGGUGUAGCGGUGAAAUGCGUAGAUAUCAGGAGGAACAUCGGUGGCGAAGGCGGCUCUCUGGACCACAACUGACGCUGAGGCGCGAAAGCUAGGGGAGCAAACAGG